UACGAAGGGGGCUAGCGUUGCUCGGAAUUACUGGGCGUAAAGGGUGCGUAGGCGGGUCUUUAAGUCAGGGGUGAAAUCCUGGGGCUCAACUCCAGAACUGCCUUUGAUACUGGCGAGCUUGAGUUCGGGAGAGGUGAGUGGAACUGCGAGUGUAGAGGUGAAAUUCGUAGAUAUUCGCAAGAACACCAGUGGCGAAGGCGGCUCACUGGCCCGAUACUGACGCUGAGGUGCGAAAGCGUGGGGAGCAAACAGG
rnacentral:rRNA from 1 species